rnacentral:tRNA from 1 species
GCUGUCGUGGCGCAACUGGCAGACGCGCACGGUCGAGGGCCGUGAUGAUGAGAGUUCAAAUCUCUCCGACAGCACCA